UAAGAUUAAGGGUUGUACAGGCUCUUUGAAUAUGACUCUGCAAAGAGCAUCUGCUACACCCAAGCCUGAGCCGGUUCCUGUUCAAAAGCCCACAGUCACCAGCGUGUGUUCCGAGACUUCUCAGGAGCUAGCAGAGGGACAGAGAAGAGGAUCCCAGGGUGACAGUAAACAGCAAAAUGGAAAACACAAGUGACAAAUAACCCUGGCACUGUGUAAGUACUUAACCAAUGAUUCACUUUGUAAUUGUCUCUGUAACUUUCCUUCUUGCUUUCAAUUUAAUACUACCAGCAAAUUUUGUUAGGAUUUUCUCAUUAUAAGAAUUUUCAAAAAUGUUAAGGAGCAUAAGAAGCAUUUUUUUUAUGCUAGAGAAUUUUGUAUGCAUCAGAGGUAUGUUUAGAACACCCACACUUCUGUAAUGAAAAACUUAGUAAGUUAACCUUCAUUGAGAUGUAGAUGAGUAUUAUGGACAGUGUAUACCA
rnacentral:sRNA from 1 species